rnacentral:rRNA from 1 species
GACGAACCGUGCGAACGUUGUUCGGAAUUACUGGGCGUAAAGGGCGCGUAGGCUGUGCUGUAAGUCAGGCGUGAAAGGCCCGGGCUCAACCUGGGAACUGCGCUUGAUACUGCGGCGCUUUGAAGACGGGGAGAGGAUGGCGGAAUUCCCAGUGUAGAGGUGAAAUGCGCAGGAUAAUCAGGAGGAACACCAAUAGCGAAGGCAGACUCGCUGGGACGG